rnacentral:tRNA from 1 species
GAUUAGAAAGCGAAUUAUUGCAUUUAGUUUCGACCUAACCUUUGGCCCUCCAGGCCUCUAAUCA